UCUGGGUCGCAUGNCUGUUCNCUGUGAUUGNCUUCAUACAUUGAAUGUUGGUGUUAACGCGCCUNCAUUUGUGNUGUUGUUGAUCCGGUGCUAUGGUCGUGUAACCUUUCUGUCGUGUCUGUGCCUUUCUUCGGAAAGCGCAGGUGUUGGCUUUCUGUGUGUCGCAAGAUGUGCAGUUGGUUGGCAUGCUUUCGGGUGCUCUUUAUUGGGUGCUUGGAGCGGGCGGNAAGUUUACUUUGAACAAAUUUGAGUGCUCAAAGCAGGCCNUAGAGCCUGAAAAGUCUUGCAUGGAAUAAUGAAAUAGGACUUCGGUUCUAUUUAGUNGGUUUUCGGAUCCGCNGNA
rnacentral:rRNA from 1 species